rnacentral:lncRNA from 1 species
CAAAACAUUUUUAUUUUUAUUUUUUAACAUACUGUUGUCUUGCGGUUUCUGUGUUUUAAGUCGUUUGCGGUGUGUUUUGGUCAGAGUGUCACGCAAUAUUUCAGAGGCGAAGGAAGAGCAGCUGAUAUGAAGCGAGAGGCUGAAGCGGGUGCUUUUAGAUCAGCUGUUUGAUUUAGUUGCACUCUUAUUGAUAGACCAGAGUUUCAUUGUUUAAAUAUCUCUUGUAGAGAUUUGCAGUUUGUUAGGAAAGCUUGCAUUGGCACAGAUUGUGUUGCUGAAGUUCAGUAUGAAAUACGGACAGUAGUGAGGGUUUUUCACCUGCCUUUUAACCCUGGCAUGGUCCUCAAUGGAAUUGUCCACCGCAUAGUUGCUUUUGUUAAGUGCAGAUGAUAAUUUGUCUCAUUUAAGUUAUUGGGAUUGAAUAAUUUUAUUGACCCAAAGAAAUGAAUUGGGAGUACAUUGGGUGUCAAUAUUAAUGUUGGAAUAUUAAGUUUGAAGUUAAAUGUUUUUCAUAAUAAUCUAACACCCUGCAAUCAUGGUAAAAUUUAAUUGCUUGAUUAGGUAAUCUAAUAGAAGUUAAGUGGUGUCCUGCUGCAAGAGCCUUUUUAUUUUCUAUAAGUUUUCUAGAAAUCAUUAUUUUCUGAAUUGCUAGUCUAAUAAUAUUUUUCUUGACUAAUAUUAUAUUCUAACAUACAACAAAAGUCUGCUUUGAUGUUAAGACUAAUAAUAUGAUUCAUGGAAUCAUUAAAAAAUGUUAUUAAUCUUCAAAACAUACAGAAUGUCAAUCGUAAUUGAAGUCUUUCUUUUGCGAUUGUCUUCAUUUAUUGUGGAGGUAUUUUUUACAAUUUUUUCUUUAUGAUAUAAAUAAUGUUGUCUCCUGGAAUUUGUGGUUGGUCCACCUCAAAUAGGCGAUUUUUACAGAAAAUUGAAGAGUUAUGUCAAAAUUUGUAUACAGUACCCAUUUAAAAAGAUGUGUAUAUUUCAAAAUUGGUAGAAUCUACAUACUUAGAAUGGAAAAAAAUAGAAAAUAAAAAAUAAAUAAAAAUACUCAUUGCACUUCAUGACCUCUUAUUAAUUUAUACAUUAGAUAUCAAAUACAUUAUAAUUUAUGCAGAUUUUCUUGUAUAAUCAUGUUCAAUUCCUGAUUAAAUAAUCAAAAGUCACAAAUACACUGGUAUUAUUUUUUAAAAGUUUUGUAUGUCAGAAAUUUUGUCAGGUCUAGUAUUCUAUUUACAGAACCCAUCAAUCAAUGUAACGAGUACCACAUUUUUUGCCACUGUUUGACCAAUAUGAAGAGAUAUGUAAUAAAUAUGAUUAAAUAAAGCCAUUAAAAACUCUUACCAAACCUUUCUAGUAAUUGAAAAGCUUAAAAAUUUUCAUGACUUGUUUUACUCUUUUUCUUAUCCAUUAUUUUUUAGAUUAUUUAUUCAAAUUUAUUUUAUAAAAACCAUGAUUAAAA